UACGGGGGGGGCAAGCGUUGUUCGGAAUUACUGGGCGUAAAGGGCUCGUAGGCGGCCAACUAAGUCGGAUGUGAAAUCCCCAAGCUUAACUUGGGAACUGCAUCCGAUACUGGAUGGCUUGAAUCCGGGAGAGGGAUGCAGAAUUCCGGGUGUAGCGGUGAAAUGCGUAGAUAUCUGGAGGAACACCGGUGGCGAAGGCGGCAUCCUGGACCGGUAUUGACGCUGAUGCGCGAAAGCCAGGGGAGCAAACGGG
rnacentral:rRNA from 1 species